rnacentral:rRNA from 1 species
UACGAAGGGGGCUAGCGUUGUUCGGAAUUACUGGGCGUAAAGCGCGUGUAGGCGGGUCUUUAAGUCAGAGGUGAAAUGCCAAGGCUCAACCUUGGAACUGCCUUUGAUACUGGAGAUCUUGAGUCCGGGAGAGGUGAGUGGAAUUGCGAGUGUAGAGGUGAAAUUCGUAGAUAUUCGCAAGAACACCAGUGGCGAAGGCGGCUCACUGGCCCGGAACUGACGCUGAGACGCGAAAGCGUGGGGAGCAAACAGG